rnacentral:piRNA from 1 species
UGGUCCCAACCUUUCUGCAAACACC